rnacentral:rRNA from 1 species
GCCCACCACCCAUAACCCAGCAGGCCUUUUAAGGAGCCCUUAACAUGAUGGGCAUGGCACAAACGUCUUCGGUUGGGGCGACCGCGGGAGAGAAGAGAGCUCCCACGUGGAUUGGGUUUGUCCUAAAACCCAGAGCCGCACCUCUAAGUCACAAAACAUUUGACCAGAAAUGAUCCGGCUUACUGCCGAUCAACGGACCA